AAUGGGGGAAACCCUGAUCUAGCCAUGCCGCGUGAGUGACGAAGGCCCUAGGGUCGUAAAGCUCUUUCAACUGUGAAGAUAAUGACGGUAGCAGUAGAAGAAACCCCGGCUAACUCCGUGCCAGCAGCCGCGGUAAUACGGAGGGGGUUAGCGUUGUUCGGAAUUACUGGGCGUAAAGCGCGCGUAGGCGGACUAUUAAGUCAGGUGUGAAAGCCCCGAGCUCAACUUGGGAACUGCACUUGAUACUGAUAGGCUAGAAAACGGAAGAGGGCAGUGGAAUUCCCAGUGUAGAGGUGAAAUUCGUAGAUAUUGGGAAGAACACCAGUGGCGAAAGCGGCUGCCUGGUCCGAUUUUGACGCUGAGGCGCGAAAGCGUGGGUAGCAAACAGGAUU
rnacentral:rRNA from 1 species